GACGAACGCUGGCGGCGUGCUUAACACAUGCAAGUCGAACGGAAAGGCCCUGCUUUUGUGGGGUGCUCGAGUGGCGAACGGGUGAGUAACACGUGAGUAACCUGCCCUUGACUUUGGGAUAACUUCAGGAAACUGGGGCUAAUACCGGAUAGGAGCUCCUGCUGCAUGGUGGGGGUUGGAAAGUUUCGGCGGUUGGGGAUGGACUCGCGGCUUAUCAGCUUGUUGGUGGGGUAGUGGCUUACCAAGGCUUUGACGGGUAGCCGGCCUGAGAGGGUGACCGGCCACAUUGGGACUGAGAUAAGGCCCCGACUCCUAAGGGAGGCAGCAGUGGGGAAUAUUGCACCAUGGGCGGAAGCCUGAUGCAGCAACGCCGCGUGCGGGAUGACGGCCUUCGGGUUGUAAACCGCUUUCGCCUGUGACGAAGCGUGAGUGACGGUAAUGGGUAAAGAAGCACCGGCUAACUACGUG
rnacentral:rRNA from 1 species